AAGCAAUUGGGGCUACCGAAAGGGCUGCUAAUACCCAAUAAUACUAUAGGUGCAAAAGACACUUGUGGUCAAAUGCUAGGAAUUCUGUUCCUUGUGCUUANNGAGGGGUUAAUGUCCUAUACAGCUAGUUGGUGGGGUAAUGGCCUACCAAGGCAUAAGACGGGUAGCCGGCUUGAGAGGGUGGUCGGCCACACUGGGACUGAGACACUNCCCAGACUCCUACGGGAGGCUGCAGUCGAGAAUCUUUCGCAAUGCCCGANAGGUGACGAAGCGACGCCGCGUGUGGGAAGAAGGUCUCGNNUUGUNNACNNNUGUCGGGAGUUAGGAAAUGCAGGUGCGUUAAUAGCGCACUUGCUUGACUAAGGCUCCAGAGGAAGCCACGGCUAACUCUGUGCCAGCAGCCGCGGUAAUACAGAGGCGGCAAGCGUUGUUCGGAAUUAUUGGGCGUAAAGAGCACGUAGGCGGCCUUGCAAGUNAGUUGUGAAAGCCUUCCGCUUAANGGAAGANCGGCAUCUGAUACUACAGGGCUUGAGUACGGGAGGGGAGAGUGGAACUUCUGCUGGAGACGGUAAAAUGCGUAGAUAUCAGAAGGAACGCCGGCGGCGAAAGCGACUCUCUGGUCCGAAACUGACGCUGAGUGUGCGANAAGCUAGGGGGAGCAAACGGGAUUAGAUACCCCGGUAGUCCUAGCCGUAAACGAUGGGCACUAAGUAGAGGGGUUUUGAUUAUUCUCUUCUGCCGGGAGCUAACGCAUUAAGUGCCCCGCCUGGGGAGUACGGCAGCAAGGCUAAAAACUCAAAAGAAUUUGAACGGGGGGCUCGCACAAGUCGGUGGAGCAUGUGGCUUAAUUCGACGCAACGCGAAGAACCUUACCGGGGCUUGACAUGGUAGAAGUAGAAUCCUGAAAGGGUGACGAUCGGUAUCCAGUCCGAAGCUAUCACAGGUGUUGCAUGGCUGUCGUCAGCUCGUGUCGUGAGACGUUGGGUUAAGUCCCCUAACGAGCGAAACCCUUGUCAUUAGUUGCUAACGGGUAAUGCUGAGCACUUUAGAGAGACUGCCGUCGUUAAGACGGAGGAANNGGGGGCGACGUCAAGUCAUCAUGGCCCUUAUGUCCCGGGCUGCACACGUGCUACAAUGGUCGGUACAAAGGGAUGCUAAGUCGCGAGAUGGUGCGAAACCUAUAAAGCCGAUCUCAGUUCAGAUUGGAGGCUGAAACUCGCCUCCAUGAAGUUGGAAUCGCUAGUAAUCGCGGAUCACGUACGCCGCUGUGAAUAUGUUCCCGAGCNUGUACACACCGCCCGUAACCACCCAAGCAAGAUGCACCUAAAAUCGCCUGCCUAACCCGUAAGGGAGGGAAGUGCCUAAGGUGUGUUUUGUAGAGGACUAAGCGUAACAAGGUAACUC
rnacentral:rRNA from 1 species